UACAGAGGAUGCAAGCGUUAUCCGGAAUGAUUGGGCGUAAAGCGUCUGUAGGUGGCUUUUUAAGUCCGCCGUCAAAUCCCAGGGCUCAACUCUGGACAGGCGGUGGAAACUACCAAGCUUAAGUACGGUAGGGGCAGAAGGAAUUUCCGGUGGAGCGGUGAAAUGCGUAGAGAUCGGAAAGAACACCAACGGCGAAAGCACUCUGCUGGGCCGACACUGACACUGAGAGACGAAAGCUAGGGGAGCGAAUGGG
rnacentral:rRNA from 1 species